UAUGCACUCUAUUGUAAGUCGCUCUGGAUAAGAGCGUCUGCUAAAUGACUAAAA
rfam:Salmo salar isolate Sally breed double haploid chromosome ssa14, whole genome shotgun sequence.